rnacentral:rRNA from 1 species
GAUGAACGCUAGCGGGAGGCUUAACACAUGCAAGUCGAGGGGCAGCAUAGGGUAGCAAUACUCUGAUGGCGACCGGCAAACGGGUGAGUAACGCGUAUGCAACCUACCCUGUACAGGGGGAUAACCCGGAGAAAUUCGGACUAAUAUCCCGUAAUAAUAUCCGGAGGCAUCUUUGGAUAUUUAAAGUUCCGACGGUACGGGAUGGGCAUGCGUAACAUUAACUGGUUGGUAAGGUAACGGCUUACCAAGGCUAUGAUGUUUAGGGGUCCUGAGAGGGUGGUCCCCCACACUGGUACUGAGACACGGACCAGACUCCUACGGGAGGCAGCAGUGAGGAAUAUUGGUCAAUGGGCGCAAGCCUGAACCAGCCAUCCCGCGUGCAGGAAGACGGCCCUAUGGGUUGUAAACUGCUUUUCCAGGGAGAGAAACUUACGCACGUGUUGCGUGACUGACGGUACCUGGGAAUAAGCAUCGGCUAACUCCGUG